rnacentral:rRNA from 1 species
AACGAACGCUGGCGGCAGGCUUAACACAUGCAAGUCGAACGGGUGUCGCAAGACAUCAGUGGCAGACGGGUGAGUAACACGUGGGAACCUUCCUAGGGGUACGGAACAACUCAGGGAAACUUGAGCUAAUACCGUAUACGUCCGUAAGGAGAAAGAUUCAUCGCCCCUAGACGGGCCCGCGUCGGAUUAGGUAGUUGGUGGGGUAACGGCCUACCAAGCCUACGAUCCGUAGCUGAUCUGAGAGGANGAUCAGCCACACUGGGACUGAGACACGGCCCAGACUCCUACGGGAGGCAGCAGUGGGGAAUCUUGGACAAUGGGCGCAAGCCUGAUCCAGCCAUGCCGCGUGAGUGAAGAAGGCCUUAGGGUUGUAAAGCUCUUUUACCAGGGACGAUAAUGACGGUACCUGGAGAAUAAGCCCCGGACAAACUUCGU